UACAGAGGUCUCAAGCGUUGUUCGGAUUCAUUGGGCGUAAAGGGUGCGUAGGCGGCGCGGUAAGUCGGGUGUGAAAUCUUGGAGCUUAACUCCGAAACUGCAUUCGAUACUGCCGUGCUUGAGGACUGGAGAGGAGACUGGAAUUUGACGGUGUAGCGGUGAAAUGCGUAGAUAGUCGAUAAGGAAGACCAGUGGCGAAGGCGGGUCUCGUGG
rnacentral:rRNA from 1 species